rnacentral:rRNA from 1 species
UACGUAGGUGGCAAGCGUUGUCCGGAUUUACUGGGCGUAAAGAGCGCGCAGGCGGUCAGAUAAGUCGAAUGUGAAAGCCCCCGGCUCAACUGGGGAGGGUCACUCGAUACUGAUCGACUCGAAGGCAGGAGAGGGUAGUGGAAUUCCCGGUGUAGUGGUGAAAUGCGUAGAUAUCGGGAGGAACACCAGUGGCGAAGGCGACUACCUGGCCUGUUCUUGACGCUGAGGCGCGAAAGCUAGGGGAGCAAACGGGGAUUAAGAAACCCC